rnacentral:rRNA from 1 species
UACGUAGGGUGCGAGCGUUGUCCGGAAUUAUUGGGCGUAAAGGGCUCGUAGGCGGUCUGUCACGUCGGGAGUGAAAACACGGGGCUUAACCCCGUGCCUGCUUCCGAUACGGGCAGACUAGAGGUAUGCAGGGGAGAACGGAAUUCCUGGUGUAACGGUGAAAUGCGCAGAUAUCAGGAGGAACACCGGUGGCGAAGGCGGUUCUCUGGGCAUUACCUGACGCUGAGGAGCGAAAGUGUGGGGAGCGAACAGG